rnacentral:rRNA from 1 species
GACGAACGCUGGCGGCGUGCUUAACACAUGCAAGUCGAACGGAAAGGCCCUGCUUUUGUGGGGUGCUCGAGUGGCGAACGGGUGAGUAACACGUGAGUAACCUGCCCUUGACUUUGGGAUAACUUCAGGAAACUGGGGCUAAUACCGGAUAGGAGCUCCUGCUGCAUGGUGGGGGUUGGAAAGUUUCGGCGGUUGGGGAUGGACUCGCGGCUUAUCAGCUUGUUGGUGGGGUAGUGGCUUACCAGGGCUUUGACGGGUAGCCGGCCUGAGAGGGUGACCGGCCACAUUGGGACUGAGAUACGGCCCAGACUCCUACGGGAGGCAGCAGUGGGGAAUAUUGCACAGUGGGCGGAAGCCUGAUGCAGCAACGCCGCGUGCGGGAUGACGGCCUUCGGGUUGUAAACCGCUUUCGCCUGUGACGAAGCGUGAGUGACGGUAAUGGGUAAAGAAGCACCGGCUAACUACGUG